GACGAACGCUGGCGGCGUGCUUAACACAUGCAAGUCGAACGGAAAGGCCCUGCUUUUGUGGGGUGCUCGAGUGGCGAACGGGUGAGUAACACGUGAGUAACCUGCCCUUGACUUUGGGAUAACUUCAGGAAACUGGGGCUAAUACCGGAUAGGAGCUCCUGCUGCAUGGUGGGGGUUGGAAAGUUUCGGCGGUUGGGGCUGGACUCGCGGCUUAUCAGCUUGUUGGUGGGGUAGUGGCUUACCACGGCUUUGACGGGUAGCCGGCCUGAGAGGGUGACCGGCCACCUUGGGACUGAGGUACGGCCCAGACUGCUACGGGCGGCAGCAGUGGGGAAUAUUGCACAAUGGGCGGAAGCCUGAUGCAGCAACGCCGCGUGCGUGAUGACGUCUUUCGGGUUGUAAACCUCUUUCGCCUGUGACGAAGCGUGAGUGACGGUAAUGGGUAAAGAAGCACCGGCUAACUACGUG
rnacentral:rRNA from 1 species